AGCUCCAAUAGCGUAUAUUAAAGUUGUUGCAGUUAGAACGCUCGUAGUCGGAUUUCGGGGCGUUCCGACCGGUCUGCCGAUGGGUACGCACUGGUCGGCGCGUCCUUCCUUCCGGAGACCGUGCCUACUCUUAACUGAGCGGGGGCGGGAGACGGAUCGUUUACUUUGAAAAAAUCAGAGUGUUUCAAGCAGGCAGCUCGCUCUUGCAUGGAUUAGCAUGGGAUAAUGAAAUAGGACUUUGGUGCUAUUUUGUUGGUUUCGAACACCGAAGUAAUGAUUAACAGGGACAGUCAGGGGCACUCGUAUUCCGCCGAGAGAGGUGAAAUUCUCAGACCAGCGGAAGACGAACUACUGCGAAAGCAUUUGCCAGGGAUGUUUUCACUG
rnacentral:rRNA from 1 species